AUGGACACCAUCGCCGACGGAAACGGCCUGUGCCUCCCCUACGACGUGCUCCUGCUCCACAAUGUCCUCCGCCACCCCCGCCCCAUGCCGUUGCCCGGUUCCAUACCGUUUGCCGCACAUUGGGAGAAUUAUACCGACGUGUGCAACCCUGCGACGAUACAGUGCGCUCCCUUGCCUCCCUCGCCGGUGAUGCGGUCGGGACAUAGAACUGAGGGCACGUUUCUUGCAUUCGACCCUGCUGUGUCGCUGCACUACAAGUUGUACAAGGUGUUCAAGGUGCUCAACAAUCACGAAGAGAUCUACUCUACUCACACGCCGGCAUCCGAGGAGCCAAUGGCAAAGGUGGUCUACUCGGUGGUGUUCUCGUCACAAACUAGACGAUGGGAGAUGCGCAAGUUUAAGCAAGGGCGUUGCGCCCCUAGGCACCUUCAAAAUGUUCAGGACGCCUUUGCGUGUGAUAUUAAUUGGCCAUCUGCCGAGUACUGGCGUGGGUCGUUGUACGUGGCUUGCGAGAAUGGCGUCCUCAUGAUCCUGAACUGCUCAGAGGAGACAUACGAUAUGGUUCAGCUUCCAGGAGAAAUCUACAACAACGGAGGACAAACGUAUCAGCUACCUCGAAGGUCCCUCUUGGCGAGUUAUGGGAAAGGUGUACGCUGCGCGGAGCUCAAGGACUUGCAGCUCCGGAUAUGGGCAUUGACAAGAUCGUGCGACGACCAACUUGGGUGGACGCUAGCACACGAGGCUGACCUCAGUCCGCAUGUGUAUAUGAUGAAGCACAACUCACGGACAAUAGAAUCAUGGGUGACAUGGGAGAUGGUCGCAAGCAGCAGAACGCCUUUCAGCUUGUUGAAACAAAUUAGUAACAACAACAACGGCAAUUUCAUCGAAUUGGACAAAAGUGUCACCGGUCUAAGGAAAAUGCAUCCGACCUACGGCGGUAUCAUCGGACUCCAUCCACGUAAAGACGUGCUCCUCCUUGAUAUUGGCGGCAUAGCGGUUGCAUACCACAUUAACACAUCAAGAAUGCAGUGUUACACGAAUGGCUUUUAA
rnacentral:rRNA from 1 species